rnacentral:lncRNA from 1 species
AUUUCCCUUGUUUGCAUUAAGUUGUCUAGCUCGAGUUUCCUUUUUCGGUUUAUUUGCAUCAAGCAUAAAAUCUUUUUUUUUAAUUAUUGUUUUGUUUCUUUUAAAUUGAAAACCAAAAUAAAUAUUUAUUUCCAUUGUUUUAUUUUAUAGAUUUCGAGAUUUGCUUGAUAAAGUUAAAAAAAAAAAAUAGGAGUUAAUUUUCCAUUUGUUUCAAAACUUUCAAAAAAAAAAAAAAACUAAGUUUCCAAUUUUUUGUUUGUUUCUUAUUCUUCUUUCUUUUGUUAAAC